rnacentral:sRNA from 1 species
UAGCAUUCUCGCUUGCGACGAUGUGCGU